AGAGUUUGAUCCUGGCUCAGAAUGAACGCUGGCGGCGUGCCUAACACAUGCAAGUCGGAUGUGCCGCAAGGUGCAUGGCAGACGGGUGAGUAACGCGUGGGGAAUCUACCUCUUUGUGGGGAAUAACGCUCCGAAAGGAGUGGUAAUACCGCAUGAGACCUUUGGCUGGGAUGCUGGAGGUGAAACCUGGGGACCGCAAGGCCUGGGGCAAGGAGAGGAUCCUGCGUCUGAUUAGCUAGUUGGCGGGGUAAUGGCCCACCAAGGCGACGAUCAGUAGCCGGCCUGAGAGGGUGAUCGGCCACACUGGAACUGAGACACGGUCCAGACUCCUACGGGAGGCAGCAGUGGGGAAUUUUGCGCAAUGGACGAGAGUCUGACGCAGCAACGCCGCGUGGGUGAUGAAGGUCUUCGGACUGUAAAACCCUGUCGUCAGGGACGAAGGUGGCACGACUAAUAAUC
rnacentral:rRNA from 1 species